AUUGAACGCUGGCGGCAGGCCUAACACAUGCAAGUCGAGCGAGCGGCGGACGGGGGAGUAAUGUAUGGGGACUGCCCGAUAGAGGGGGAUAACUACUGGAAACGGUAGCUAAUACCGCAUACUAUCGGAUAACCCAUAUGGGAUGAGCUAGUAGGUGAGGUAAUGGCUCACCUAGGCGACGAUCCCUAGCUGGUCUGAGAGGAUGAUCAGCCACACUGGGACGGAGACACGGCCCAGACUCCUACGGAGGCAGCAGUGUGGAAUAUUGCACAAUGGGCGCAAGCCGGAUGCAGCCAUGCCGCGUGUAUGAAGAAGGCCCUAGGGAUGUAAAGUACUUUCAGUCGGGAGGCGUUACCGACAGAAGAAGCACCGGCUAACUCCGUGCCAGAAGCCGCGGUAAUAC
rnacentral:rRNA from 1 species